GUCCUAGCCGUAAACGGUGUGUAUUUGCUGUAAAAGGAAUCGACCCCUUUUGUGGCGUAGCUAACGCGUUAAAUACACCGCCUGGGAAGUACGGUCGCAAGAUUAAAACUCAAAGAAAUUGACGGGGGCCUGCACAAGCGGUGGAGUAUGUGGCUCAAUUCGAUGCAACGCGAAGAACCUUACCUGGCCUUGACAUGCAAAUAGUAGAAGGGUGAAAGCCUGACGAGGUAGCAAUACCAGUUUGCACAGGUGCUGCAUGGCUGUCGU
rnacentral:rRNA from 1 species